UCUCGCCAUUUCCGGGUCCCAAAUGGCUGUCAAAGUGUACCAACUUGUCGGAAUAUGUCCUCAGACUUCUUCUGUCCAGUUAAUGGUGGAUUCUGUCACGGCGCAUGCGGAAUCCCUCAUGUCAUCUGCUGCAAGCGCUGCCAGCACCUUCACUAGAAGCGCGCCAGGACACGCCCCUGCUCGCCCGCAGCCACGCGCCUGCAAGACUGCAGGAAAUCACAAAUCAGCGCACCUGGGACUGAUGAAACAGACUGCAUAAAGACCAGCGGACCCGAAGAUCCAGUGCCAAAACGUAGUUCACUCCUCGUAUGUUUCCCCUGUUUCCUGUGAUUGAGCUGUGUCCAGAUUCUGUGCCUCUGGAAUCUGGACUGCCUCCCUCGAUCCUCGACCCCUGCUUGGACAUGGGCCUCGUUGCUUCUCUCCAGCUCCCAACCGCUUGCUUGCCCGCCGACUGCUUUCUCACCUUGCCUCUUAGGUCUGACGAAGGAUUCAUCCAACACACACUUACAACAAACUCUGGUAACAUUGACAUUGUUAAUUCUACACAUCGUCUUGCACCAUUCACAUUUAGUAGCAUACACACUCCACCAAUUCAUCAAGAUCGAGUUCAAUAAACCUAUUGAACUGA